rnacentral:rRNA from 1 species
UACAGAGGGUGCGAGCGUUAAUCGGAAUUACUGGGCGUAAAGCGUGCGCAGACGGUCACGUAAGUCGGGUGUGAAAGCCCCCGGCUCAACUGGGGAGGGUCACCGCUAACGGUCGUGCUGUGAGUGCAGGAGAGGGAUGUGGAACUCCGGGAGUAGCGGUGAAAUGCGUAGAGACCCGGAGGAACACCAGUGGCGAAGGCGGCAUCCUGGUCUGCGACUGACGCUGAGGCGCGAAAGCGAGGGGAGCGAACGGG